UACGGAGGGUGCAAGCGUUGUCCGGAUUUAUUGGGUUUAAAGGGUGCGUAGGUGGCUAUUUAAGUCAGUGGUGAAAGUCUGCAGCUCAACUGUAGAACUGCCAUUGAUACUGAUUAGCUUGAGUAUUGAUGAGGUAGGCGGAAUUGAUAGUGUAGCGGUGAAAUGCAUAGAUAUUAUCAAGAACACCGAUUGCGAAGGCAGCUUACUAAGGAAUAACUGACACUGAGGCACGAAAGCGUGGGGAUCAAACAGG
rnacentral:rRNA from 1 species